rnacentral:rRNA from 1 species
GAUGAACGCUGGCGGCGUGCUUAACACAUGCAAGUCGAACGGAAAGGCCUCUGCUUGCAGGGGUACUCGAGUGGCGAACGGGUGAGUAACACGUGGGUGAUCUGCCCUGCACUUCGGGAUAAGCCUGUGAAACUGGGUCUAAUACCGGAUAGGACAAUGGUUUGGAUGCUGUUGUGGAAAGUUUUUCGGUGUGGGAUGAGCUCGCGGCCUAUCAGCUUGUUGGUGGGGUAAUGGCCUACCAAGGCGUCGACGGGUAGCCGGCCUGAGAGGGUGUACGGCCACAUUGGGACUGAGAUACGGCCCAGACUCCUACGGGAGGCAGCAGUGGGGAAUAUUGCACAAUGGGCGCAAGCCUGAUGCAGCGACGCCGCGUGGGGGAUGACGGCCUUCGGGUUGUAAACUCCUUUCGCUAGGGACGAAGCGUUUUUGUGACGGUACCUGGAGAAGAAGCACCGGCUAACUACGUG